UACGUAGGGUGCGAGCGUUAAUCGGAAUUACUGGGCGUAAAGGGCGCGUAGGCGGCCUGCUAAGUCGAACGUGAAAUCCCUGGGCUCAACCCAGGAACUGCGUCCGAUACUGGUUGGCUUGAAUUCGGGAGAGGGAUGCAGAAUUCCAGGUGUAGCGGUGAAAUGCGUAGAUAUCUGGAGGAAUACCGGUGGCGAAGGCGGCAUCCUGGACCGAGAUUGACACUGAGGAGCGAAAGCCAGGGGAGCAAACGGG
rnacentral:rRNA from 1 species